rnacentral:lncRNA from 1 species
AUUAGGUGUCUAUUGAUCAGUUCCUGUCUGAGCUCAUCUGCCAUGAAGAAGGAAGGUGCAUUUGCUUUUGGCUGCAUAUAAGCAACAUGAGGUGCAGCUGGAUGGUAAAUGUGGUAGUUUGGAAAUACCAUUCCUGUGAGAGGUGCUGGAGUUGUAUCAGUAUAGAAGUACGUUGUUCCACCCACUGUUUCCUUCUGGAUCACCUGGCCAGUAGAUGGAGGCUGAGAGACAGCGUUAGCAACAGAAGCAGAGGCACUAGUAGGCACCAUAUAGUUUGCUGGGUUAGGAGUAUGACUUCUUCGUCGAGGAGCAGGAGAUGUAUGAGGAGUUAUUUUGGGGGAAUGAAGAGGAGAAGAUCCCGCUGAUAGUGACAUUCCUGGUGCUAGCCCAGCAGCAGCAGGACUUCCCAUGGAGGGAUGAGAGAACAAGGCUUGAGAGAAGGCAGACAUACUUGACUGGGAUACGUUACUCAGCCUGGAGGUUGAUCCUCCUUUAGGAAUAAAUUCAUUUGCAGUGGGGUUUGGUGUCUGUAAAUUGUUUUCUGUGACUCUGUUCCACCAAACCAUAUUGAUGGGUACUCCUGUUUUACACCUGUCAGUCAGACAGCCAAUAGGGUUCUUUGAUUUUCUUGCUUUUGAUCCCACCGGAACUAUCCUCUCAUCCAGCAUCCCCAGUCG